AAUCUCAUUUUCUCAUCAAACAUGUUCACACUCCAUCUCUAUAUCAAAACACGCUACACAGAAAACUCACACACAUGGCUCAUCUCUCUCGCCCCACCUCUGGCCGACGUCGGCUGCCGCCGCGCCUAAUCCGGCGAGGCCGCCUGAGUCCCUCUCAUCUUCUCUUAUUCUACUCCCUUACCAAUUUCUGUAUUCGUGAAUCACCAAGCCGAGCUUUAGUUUUUCCCCUAAAAUUUAAAUUACGGCCAGUUCCAGCCCUCUCAUCCGUCCGAUUCUGCUACCGGCGCCGCGUUGCCUACUCCUCCGGCAAUUGGCGGUCGCCUAUCUGUUGGCCCCGCCGUUCUAAGCCUCACAUUCCCCCUCAUCUCUCAAUUCCACGCUCGAGGGGAAAAAAAGGGGCGAGCCCUAAUCGUCUCUUUCUCUGCUUGAAUCUGGCGAUGUCACCGUUCCAAGGUGGAGACGUUCAGUUCCGUCUCUAAGCCUCACGUUCUUAGGAGUAAUGAUUCUUAAUUUGGCUUAAUUCUCCUAGUCAGAACUCCGUCUGCACUUCUCUGGAUCUCUGCUCUGAUCUGGAGGCCAGCUCAACUCUGGCGUCUUCUCUGCUCAGCUCAGAAGGUUGUUCUGCUCUGAAGGUCGGCCCUGCUGUGCCCUCUGGAGGUCACCUCUACGCUGCUCUGGAGGUCCUCUGGAGCCCUGCUCUGCUCUGGAAAACUCCUCUGCUCUGGAGGACAGCUCUGCUCUGGAGGACUUCUCUGCCCUGGAAGUCUGCUCUGCUCUGGAGGACAGCUCUGCUCGGGAGGUGAUGUUUCUCCGCUGCUCUGCUCUGGAGAUUACACGCUGAUGUUGGACCGCUUUGGCUCUGGAGAACGGGCGUUGGCUGCUCUGGAGUUUCCUGCUCUGACGUUGCCUGCUCUGUCACUUUUGUGCUCUGGCUCGGCUGCUCUGCCCUGCUGCACAGCUAUGCCGGCUCUGGCUCUGGUCUGCCUGCUCUGCUCUGGAGCUUGCUCUUCUGUUUAUUUCUCUGGCUCCGCUGCUCUGCUCUGGAGCUCCCUAGUUUUGGCGGUGUCUGCUUUGGAGUCGACUGCUCUGGCGUUGUCUGCAAGAGUGCGCUUCUGCUCUGACUCCGCUUCUCUGGUGUUGGCUGCUCUGGGACUUUUGUACGCGGGCUUGGCUGCUCUGCUCUGCUCUGCUGCACCACUCGGUGCAGCCUUCCCGCAGGAGUAGCUUGCUCUUCCUUUGUUGUUUUGGCUUUUGCGUUGUUUGCUCUCUCUUUUGGUUUGGAUUUUGUUGUUUUUUCCAUUUUUUUGGGCUUUCCUUUGAGGCCCCCUCCUUGUUUGCGCCUGUGCUCUCAAGGUUGCCAUAAGGAAUAUUAGAACAGGCGCCAUCAAAUCUUAUGAGAUAAGUAUCAUCAAAGCUAAGUAUUGAUUAUUGUUUUCUCAUAUCUUUGUUUGUUUAUGUUUUUUUUUUCAUAUUUUUCUAGUAAAAAACAUGGUGCAGAUUUUGAGAGUUACAGAUAAGUAUUAGCAAAACUAAGUAUUGAUUAUUGUUUUAUCAUAUGUUUCUGUUUUCUUCGUAUUUCUUUAGAAAAAAAUUACUGUUUUGGCAGCUAGGUAGCUUAUCUUAAUGUCUUUUGAUAAACUUAAA